rnacentral:rRNA from 1 species
GGANUUUUANNACAAUACANCGGAGGAAAAGAAACCAACCGGGAUUACCUCAGUAACGGCGAGUGAAGCGGUAACAGCUCAAAUUUGAAAUCUGGCUCUUGCGGAGUCCGAGUUGUAAUUUGUAGAAGAUGCUUUGGGUUGUGGGUUCGGCCUAAGUUCCUUGGAACAGGACGUCAUAGAGGGUGAGAAUCCCGUAUGUGGCCGAGGCCCGCGCCUAUGUAAAGCUCUUUCAACGAGUCGAGUUGUUUGGGAAUGCAGCUCAAAAUGGGUGGUAAAUUUCAUCUAAAGCUAAAUAUGGGCCAGAGACCGAUAGCGCACAAGUAGAGUGAUCGAAAGAUGAAAAGCACUUUGGAAAGAGAGUUAAACAGUACGUGAAAUUGUUGAAAGGGAAGCGCUUGCAACCAGACUUGGGCGCUGCCGAUCACCUUGAGUUUUCUCGAGUGCACUCGACAGCGCACAGGCCAGCAUCGGUUCGGGUGGCUGGAUAAAGGCCGUAGGAAUGUGGCUCUCUUCGGGGAGUGUUAUAGCCUACGGUGCCAUGCAGCCCAGCCGGACCGAGGACCGCGCCUUCGGGCUAGGAUGCUGGCGUAAUGGUUGUAAGCGACCCGUCUUGAAACACGGACCAAGGAGUCUAACAUCUAUGCGAGUGUUUGGGUGGUAAACCCAUACGCGGAAUGAAAGUGAACGUAGGUGAGAACCCCUUUGGGGCGCAUCAUCGACCGAUCCUGAUGUCUUCGGAUGGAUUUGAGUAAGAGCAUAGCUGUUGGGACCCGAAAGAUGGUGAACUAUGCCUGAAUAGGGUGAAGCCAGAGGAAACUCUGGUGGAGGCUCGCAGCGGUUCUGACGUGCAAAUCGAUCGUCAAAUUUGGGCAUAGGGGCGAAAGACUAAUCGAACCUUCUAGAGCGUGCCUUU